AAUUAUUCUCUGGUCCUUAUGGAAAAAUUUGCCAACCCCUGUUCUGCUCUUGAUUGUUUAAGCAGACCCAGGAAAAAGUUUUGUUCUAUUCAAGCUACAUUUUUGACUAAUCCCUUAAAAUGUGAUGGAAGAAAGUAUAACAAUGUUCAGCAGAAUAAUUUCCUAACAUCAAGUUUUAAAAAACCACUAAUUUUGCAUUAUGACCAUGAAAGUUGAGUAACUGACAAACAGAACUUUAAGAGCUUUCCUAAUCAAGGGCUGACUCUGUUCAAGGCCCUGGGUGAAGUAACGAGGAGGUGGAAAAGAUAGAUGUAAAACCCAACUCCAGAUGAUGAGGUGUUCCCCAGUCAGAGAAGAGGUAUAAGCACAGAUUAAUGCUGUGAUGGAGCAGUACUCAGCCCCAGUCCUUAGUGGAUGCUCCUGCUAGAAAACUGUCAUGUUGAGCUUUCUCAUGGAGUUAGGGACACAGCAUCUCUCUACUGAGUGGUGAGAAGCAGGACAGAGACCACCUCUUAUUCAUCUUCGUACCCCCUCAGUGUCUAGCAGAAUGUAGUGCCCUCUACAGCACUCAGUUAAAGUCUGUUGAAUUUGACCUUGCUGUUACAAAAAGAUGAUACCCUAGAAAGCAAUCUCUAUGUACCUAAUGAAUGACAGUGCACAAAUUUCUCCACUCCUGCUUUAAAUCCCACUCUCUGCCAUCUCUUUCUAGAGCAGGCUUCAUUGGGAGUUGGUAAGGAAGACCAAAGAUACUCAAAGAAUUUUAUGGUACGCAUUGUAAAAUUGAUUUAAAAUACUGAGCAUUUCCUACAAGAAAAGAUGUUGUUUUGUUUUGUUUUUUUUUCUUUCUCUUUUCAAUGGCCACACCCAUGACAUACGGAAGUUCCUGGGCCAGGGACUGAAUCCAAGAUACAGCUGCAACUUAUACCACAGCUGCAGCAAUGCUGGAUCCUUCAAUCCACAGUGUCUGGCCACAGAUGGAACCCAAGUCUCUGCAGUGACCUGAGCUGCUGCAGCUGCAUUCUUUUUUUUUUUUUUUUUUUUUUUUGUCUUUUCUAGUGCCACACCCAUGGCGUAUGGAGGUUCCCAGGCUAGGGGUCUAAUUGGAGCUGCAGCUGCCGGCCCACGCCACAGCCACAGCAACUCAGGAUCUGAGCCACAUCUGUGACCUACACCACAGCUCAUCAAUGCCGGAUCCUUAACCCACUGAACAAGGCCAGGAACAAACCCGCAACCCCAUGGUUCCUAGUUGGAUUGGUUUCCACUGAGCCAUGAUGGGAACUCCUGCAGCCGCAUUCUUAACCCACUGCUCCACAGUGGGAACUCCAAGAAAAGAUGCUUUUAGGAAAUACUAUGGGACUUCAUUGGCUUUGGUAUAAAAGAUAAUGAAUGAAGAUAACUGUGUUCUGCUGGGAGUCAUUUUAUAAAAACAGGUGUUAUGAUUCUUUAGAUUUAAUUUGUUUUCUUCAGCAACAUCAGAAAUCUCUUCUUUCAGCCCAUCCUAAAUGCACAAAAAGGGAGGCCCCAAUAAUCUUCCCAGUUCUAUCAGUUCCUACCUGGAAUACAUCCCUAUGACCAAUCCUUUUACUCUUUUAAAUACAAACACUAAGUAGUACAAAGAUUACUUCUGAAUCCUGUUCUUCCACUGGAGCUGCUCAUGUAAUUUGCCUCCUACAACUCAGUCAGAUGUCUGCUCCUAAUCCUCAGAACACAUCCUUCCAAAGGGCCUGCUUGUUUCUUCUCAAAAGUAAUAGCACAGGAUGGAUUCACCUGCAUAGUAAUAAAUCCCAAGACCAAAUCCCCUGACUGAUGCUGCUCGCUGAACAGAGCUCAUUUCCUGAAAGUGCACCUAAAGAGUUUUGUGUGGUCUAACCCCUUCUCCUGUGACCUGUUAGUAGCUCCUUUGACUGGGUUCCAGAAUUCUGAAUUGGUUCAGUGGCAGAUUCAAAAAGCUUUCUUUUCAUCUUGACUGCUGUUCUCAGAGCUGUCUCUCUCCCACAGAGGGUUCUUUUUAAAACUAUCCUUUCUAAGGAAUUUUACUGUAACCCCAUAUUCAAGUUUCAUCUUCCUUUUGUUCCUUUUCAACAUCAAUUAGUUGUUGAGGCAAACUAGAAAAGUUACAUCUAUAGUUUUGAACUAGAAAUAUAAUUCAAAGCUAGCACUAGCUUAUCAACCUGAAAUUUCUCUAUCCUUUCCCCUUUAAUACUUGAUGACUAAAUACAAAUGUGCCACAAAUGAUUGUGAAAUGAAAUUCAGUUUUUGCUAAGAUGUUUAGAAAUUGGAAAAAUGGCAAAACUAAAAAACAAACCCCUCUACUCUCCCCCUACCACCAAAAAGACAAAAAUCAACUCUUACACUUAAAGGGACACAUCUGUUUUCAUUUCAUCACAACUUUUAAUUGCUCCUACCCUUAAUAAACUGAUUUCGAAGGAGAGAAAAUUAUCCCUUAAGUCAAGUUAAGGAACACCUUUUAAGUUGUGUGUGUUUAACUGAAUCACAAAAAUCUUUAUGUUCAUCUGUGAGGCUCGUAGGAGACUGACAAAUUCCAAAAGAAAUGAAGGCAGUAAGUCCCUGAAAUAUUCUGCUGAGGUCUUCCCAGGAGUGUGGGAUUAAAUUAUCAUUUACAAAUGAAUAAAAAGAGGGUGCUACAAACAGAAGAUAUUUUCUCCCUUCACAAGCUAUGAAACUCCCUUGAGGAAACAGCUUCCAUAAAGCUGGUGCUGUGACAACAGCAAUUACGUAGACAAACAUGUAGGUUGUUAAUCAUUUUGAUGGCACUGUUUUCUUAUAAUUUCUGGACUUUUGGGGGGAGGUCAUUGGCUACAACAGGCAAAACUAAUCACAUGGCACUAACAUCAGCUUGGGCUUUACUGGUUUGGCGUACCAGCCUGGACAGGGUGGCCAGAGUGGCAUGUAUUUCCAUGGCCUUCAAAAUGAGCAAGUUGAUUGGCGAUGUGGAGAUGGCCAGUGGGGGGUGGGGGCAGAGGAGAAGAAUUCCCAGAGACCGGCUUCUUCUUUGAUUAAGCUGUUUUUAGUUAGUAAAAACACUUUCCACAAGGAAACACCCUCUAAAUCUAUAUAACUUAAAAAAUUGCAAAACUAAAAAAUCACUUUGCUUUCUUUGUGACUUUAAAUUAUUGUUUGUGUCUUUUGUUCAAUGGUUUGUUUUGUUUUGUUUCCCCUGCCGUGCACUAUUACCCCCAAAUUUCAUGGUUGUUUACCACCACUUACGUUUCUCAUAUAGAAAUAAGUUUUUCUUUUAUUAUUUUCUUCUCUCUCUCUUUUUAACAUAAAUAAAUCAAACAUUCUAAAGCCAUCAUUUAAACAUGGGUGCUUAUGCUCCUGGAAGACAAAUAAUUCUGGGCUAGGUCUGAACAAGUUAGUUUCUUUCUAAAAUAUAACAGAGGACUUCCCUGGUGGCCUAGGAGUUAAGGAUCUGGCGUGGAUUUGAUCCCUGGCUUGGGAACUUCUUCAUGCCAUGGGUGCAGCCAAAUAAAUAAAUAAAUAAAUAAAUAAAUAAAUAAAUAAAUAAAACACAAAUUCUCAGGUUUAGUUUAAUUUUCAAAAAUUUUAACUACACCCAUUUUUUCCAAAAAUGUUUCUUUUAGGCACUUUACUCAUGUUCAAAUGAUGGAAAGGUGGAAAUUUUAUUUCCAAAGUAUACAAUGAUGAGAUGAUGAGUCAAUUUUGCAAACUAUUUCAAAGUAGAGGAGAAACUGAUUUGGGAAAUGAUGAGUUGCCUUUAGUGGAUCAUCUAUCCAAGUACUGAGGACAUUGCAUCUCCAAUACAGGAACUAUUACAACUAUGGUGCAUUCAUUUCAAAAGAGAAAAAACAACUGAUACAUUUGGAUUAUUGCAAGUGAAAUGCUUUAGUGGUAUUCACUCAUAAAUGCAAAAGGUUGUAAUGUAGAGAACCCUGAACGUGGAGGUAUUUCCUUAAACAAAUACUGUUAAUAACUCCUUUUUUUUUUUUAAACCAGCUAAUUUUAUUGUCUUCUUUUUUUUUUUAUUAAAGCAUGGUUGAUUUACAAUGUUUCUUCAAUUUCUGUUGUACACAGCAAAGUGACCCAAUCAUAGGAGUUCCUUGUGCUGUAGAGUAGGAGCACAUUGUCCAUCUAUUCUACAUGUUACAGUUUGUAUCCACCAACCCCCAACUCCCUGUCCAUCCUACUCCCUCCCCGCUGCCACCCUGGUCUAGCUAAUUUUAAGAUAAUGCUUAAGUAGUGCUAGGAAUUUUCCCAAUUGUCAAGUGAAUAACAGCUUUGAAAUGCCUUUCCCAAGUUACAAAAUAUUGAAUGCAAUUCAUGUUUAGUUAUUUAUAUUAUAAAGAUAUGCUAUCUGUAACAUUCAUGGUAUUAAGUUUCACUGCUACAGCAAUAUGCCAUCCAAUUUAUAUGCUUGCUAUAUUCUUCCUUGCUGGUUCAGGGCCUUUUUCUAAGUCAUGUUUCAUGAAAUAACUCAUAAAUUAAAGAAACUUUUAAAAACUAGAAAGAAGCAAGAUUUCCUUUUGGUAAUGGUUCAUGCACCAGGCUAGAAAAGUUUUCUCAAAAUAUUUAAAUAUUCCUUAAAUCAGUAGUUUAACAUUUGGGAAAGAAACAACAUAUAGGAGGUCAAACAUUCAAUACUCACUGUAGAGAAUAGUUCCAUUCAAACUGUUUGUUUUUAUAGUCAAGUAGAUGGUAACAAUUCUGUUAUGUUCCUUCUCCAGGACAAAUUUCAACUCCUCCUGGGUUGUAAAAAAAGGCAGUUCUAAAUAGGAGUUCCCGCUGAAAGAUGGAACAAAUAAACCUGCAUCUAAAAAAAAAAAAAAAAAAAAACAAAAAAUCAACGUCAUAUUAAUAUAUUCUGAUAGCAUUGUAUUACUAAUCAAGUAGAUAAGAAGUUAUCAUUCAUCUAAAACAAUAACACUGAUAUUUAUAAAGAUUUGGUCCAACUUCAAGAAAUUUAGAUACAUAAGUAUGGUCAACUUGAAAAGUCAUUGUCUCAGAAUUCCCAUUGUGGCUCAGUGGUAACGAACCUGACUAAUAUCCACGAGGACUGGGGUUUGAUCUAUGGCCUUGCUCAGCAGGUUAAGGAUCCAGCGUUGCCAAGAGCUGAGGUGCAGGUUGCAGAUGAGGCUCAGAUCUGGCAUUGCUGUGCCUGUAGCGUAGGCUAGCAGUUGUAGCUCCAAUUAGACCCCUAGCCUGGGAAACUCUAUAUGCCA
rnacentral:lncRNA from 1 species